rnacentral:tRNA from 4 species
CGGGCCGUUGUAUAAUGGCAUUACGCACGCUUCGGGUGCGUGUAAUCCGAGUUCGACUCUCGGCGGCCCGACCA